rnacentral:lncRNA from 1 species
UAAAAUUAUUUGGAAUAUAAUAAAUUUGAACUAUUUUGAAUAUAUUUUAUGCAUGAAGAUUGCAAAAAUAAAUUUAAUAUUUAAUAAAUAAAAUAUGUUGAUAUGAAAUUAUAAAUGUACAACCCAAUAUUUGCCCUGGUCCAAACUAAACAAAUAAACCAAACCAAACUAAGGUCCUAAGCCCAAAUUUUAAACAGAAGCCCAAAGUAGCCAAAUCCAUCUUCAGCAAGAAAACAAAAAAAAAAAAAACCUAGCCUUAGGUGCGCCGCACCUAAGGUCUUCUUCCUCUGCUGCUGCCACCUUUAGCAGCCACCUAACCUCUGCCACCACCAGCCAUCGACUCCACUGGCACCGACCUGCAAAAAAUGAC